UACGAAGGGGGCUAGCGUUGCUCGGAAUCACUGGGCGUAAAGCGCACGUAGGCGGCUUUUUAAGUCAGGGGUGAAAUCCUGGAGCUCAACUCCAGAACUGCCUUUGAUACUGAGAGCUUGAGUCCGGGAGAGGUGAGUGGAACUGCGAGUGUAGAGGUGAAAUUCGUAGAUAUUCGCAAGAACACCAGUGGCGAAGGCGGCUCACUGGCCCGGUACUGACGCUGAGGUGCGAAAGCGUGGGAGCAAACA
rnacentral:rRNA from 1 species